AGCAUAUCAAUAAGCGGAGGAAAAGAAACCAACAGGGAUUGCCCCAGUAACGGCGAGUGAAGCGGCAACAGCUCAAAUUUGAAAUCUGGCCCUCGGGUCCGAGUUGUAAUUUGUAGAGGAUGCUUUUGGUGAGGUGCCUUCCGAGUUCCCUGGAACGGGACGCCAUAGAGGGUGAGAGCCCCGUCUGGUUGGACACCGAGCCUCUGUAAAGCUCCUUCGACGAGUCGAGUAGUUUGGGAAUGCUGCUCUAAAUGGGAGGUAUAUGUCUUCUAAAGCUAAAUACCGGCCAGAGACCGAUAGCGCACAAGUAGAGUGAUCGAAAGAUGAAAAGCACUUUGAAAAGAGGGUUAAAUAGUACGUGAAAUUGUUGAAAGGGAAGCGCUUGUGACCAGACUUGAGCCCGGUUAAUCAUCCAGCCUUCUGGCUGGUGCACUUGGCCGGCUCAGGCCAGCAUCAGUUCGGCGCGGGGGAUAAAGGCUUCGGGAAUGUGGCUCCUCCGGGAGUGUUAUAGCCCGUUGUGUAAUACCCUGUACUGGACUGAGGUUCGCGCAUCUGCAAGGAUGCUGGCGUAAUGGUCAUCAGCGACCCGUCUUGAAACACGGACCAAGGAGUCGUCCUCGUAUGCGAGUGUUCGGGUGUCAAACCCCUACGCGUAAUGAAAGUGAACGCAGGUGAGAGCUUCGGCGCAUCAUCGACCGAUCCUGAUGUUCUCGGACGGAUUUGAGUAAGAGCAUACGGGGCCGGACCCGAAAGAAGGUGAACUAUGCCUGUAUAGGGUGAAGCCAGAGGAAACUCUGGUGGAGGCUCGCAGCGGUUCUGACGUGCAAAUCGAUCGUCAAAUAUGGGCAUGGGGGCGAAAGACUAAUCGAACCUUCUAGUAGCUGGUUUCCCCA
rnacentral:rRNA from 1 species